AUUGUUUUCUUCUUUGGGCAAAGAGUUGGGAGGUCCCUCAGAACAGGGACCGAGAGAUGGAAGCAAACCGAAUACCACCCCCACAUUGAUCUUAGGAACUGACUCUAAAACUCUGUGCGGAAUCUUCACUUGUAUUGGGAUUGUAUCUUGACAUUCCUAUUAUGUUACUUUUCUUAACUGGAGUGUGUGCUGCCUUUCAGGUACAAUUUUUGUGUAAUAAAAGCCAGUGCAUUAAGUUUAUAUAGACUACUUUCUAUGCAAGACUGAGAUAUGGAGUAGAUAGCAAGAGAUAUGGAGUGUUGGGUAUGUGGACAAGACGCAUGGUUUCAGGACGGGUACCACCGCUGAACAUGGGUUGAGGGAGGAUAGGUUGUGUAUUUAUUUCCACCCACUCAUUUUGAGCAGCCAUAUUAUGAAUUAAAUCAUCAGGGCCAAGUAACUCAAGAAUGGUGUUAGUUUCAUGUGUAUUAGCUCAAAUGGAGCAACUAACUAUGAGUGCCGAAGUGGAACACUGCUCUCGGAUAUUCCAUGUCAUUUCUCACUGAAAGACUCUUGUUAUGAAUUACUAGAAACCUUAGGCAAAAAUCAGAAGUAUUUGUAGCAAAAUGAAAGCCUACUCUGCUCUUAUUUAAAAGUGAAACACUGCACACUUGUUUCUCUCCCAAGUGAGAUUAGGUAUUUAUGAUUUCAGUUGCCUUGAUACGUUUCCCAAAUCCCUGAUUUAUGCUGAAGAUUUUACUAUAUCGUUGCACAAUUUUAAGAUAAUUUCAAUGUCAACUUUUUCACCAAAUAAAAAUUUAACUGGGUCAAGAAAACACUGCUUUGAAAAUCCUCUUUCUAUGCACGUCUUGAGUUGUGGAGUGCAAUAAAGACGGUUCCUACAGGUCUCCAAACACCAUUUGAGGUGUGUGUUUUAAAAAGAUGUUUAUUUCCUAGAUGAGAAAACACUGAGAUCCGGAACAAUUUCAUUCUUAACAAGCUGGUCUCGGGUGGUGGGUCCUUGCAGAACACGAUGUCUUUGUGUUGACUGAGGAGUGGGAGAUGUUUGUGAUGGUGGUUUUGAAGUAAAUAGAAUUAUUCCACAGGCGCAGUGACGAAAGAGGCUCCCUUACAGCUGUAGCUACAUUUUGCUGAGAGGCAAUUUGCUAAGAAGGCAAUUUUCAGAUCUAAGAGAAGAAUGCGCUGUUGUAUGACAAGCUGUGUGUCAAAGAGCACUUUUAAGAGGUUUCCGUGAGCAGGGAAGUCCUGGGAAGAAACUGCACGUUUCUCUGAUGAGCAAAUGAGUGGCAGAUGGACUUAUGAGGAAACAGAGGCUCUGAGAGGCUCAGUAACUUGCUUAGAGGAAACCAGAGAGUAAAUGGCAAAACCAGCCUUCGAUGCCAGAAGAUCUUCAUCCUUGAAGUCCCUUCACGAAAGGCUCCCCUGGACGGGGCUGUGGCACUGCUCAUUUCUGCUGUCCUGGCUCAUCUCUACCUGUGUUUUUGGACUGGGCACACUCCCCCGCCUCACUAGAACAUUCUAUAGCUAAGGCUAACACGUUCUGACUGGCUACAGUGAAAUCUUCCUGGCUUGAGAGCUAUUGCGUCUGUAAGAUUAUUCUGUCUAUUAUAUGUGGACUUUAAGGUUUCACUCUGGGAGGACACUGCUUGGGAGUCCUAGGGGACUCCUCCGUGGAGCCCCCAGAUUCUGACUACAUCUGUCAGCUGUUAGUAUGUCAUUCACAGCCCACAGUCAAUGAGAACUGGAAAGAGACUGAUAAAGGUAGACACCCUGACAAUGAGAGAAAAGGUAAGCACUCUGUAGUUAGACUACAGAAAACCUAGGGGUAGAAGCACUCCAGACAAGGUGGGGCCGUUUAGCAUGGGCCCGAUAGCCCCAUAGGGACAGGGUCCUACACGUGAGGUAGCCCAGUCAACUAGAAUGAGAAUAGGUCCCUUCUAUUGAGCCCCUAUUCUUUGCCAGUCACUGUACUAAAUACUCUAUGAACAUUUUUUUUAAUGCUGAAAAUGAUCCUGUGAUUUAAGUAUUUAACUGUGUUAAAAGAUAGGAAAAUUAGUCAUAAGAGAGUGUAACCUCUCCAAGAUCUCACAUGUACUAAGUACAGAGUCAAAAUUCAAACCUAGAUUUAUUCCAUUCUUUUUAAGUCUGUGUUCUUACCCCCUCCGUGUUUCUUUGUCCUUGUGGUACAGUCUUAGAGGGCCAUCAUAGUAAUACUGGCUGUUUAGGGAAUUCAGGGGUGCACAGGCAAUACAUUUAAAGGAUUUCCACCAGAAAGAUUAAAAAUGGCCUUUGGAAACAGUGAAGUAUACUUAAAUUUCUUUGCAGAAUCAUUUAUGUGGAACACAGUAUUCCCGACUGAUGCUUGAUCAAUGGAGUCUUUUUUUUUUAUUAUUGGAAAAUGUUUGUGUAAAGGAUUCAGUAAUUAGGAACACUGAAGGUUCUUUUCUUUUUCAACAGCCUGGUUAGAUUUUAUCAGAAUCCUUUGCAUCUUGGCACAUGAAUGUUUAACACGCAUUUUACUCACCUUUAUUUAUGUACUUGGUAGGGCACAUCACUGUAACAUGUUCCUUGGGGGAGUAACUGGGCUAGGACCAGACCAUCAGGGUCUCAGCUAAAGGAGGUGGCUGCCAUUCUUUCCCUCCAGCCCUAACUGGCUUGGAUGCCUGUGCCCCCAUUAAUUUUCUUUUAAAGCUAUGUGUAAGGUAAUUUGAGCCUGCAAUAAUCUGUAGAAGAAUAAUGGUAUUAAUGCUUUUAAAAAUGUUAAUGUUAUCAUUGUAGUGUCGCAACCCUAUUUAACGCAUAAAUGACAACUGGUAAUGUUUGGGAAUAUUUCUGUGAAAACAGUGACAUUUCAUACUUAAAGCUUGGCAUCAGCAAACUUUGAGGAAGAAAAAAAGGCUUGGAUUUAAAUGUGAAUUAGCGUAGGAAAUUUGCCCUUUGGUGGAUUGAAUGAAGAUGGAUUGAAUGAAGACGUCUCAUAGUUAAAAUUUAACUUUCAGUCUCUCUCUAGCAGCAGCAGAACCUAUUGAUAUCCCAGUAUUGGUCAGGCCCUAGAUGGUGCCGAGCCCUGUGUGUAUCUGUGAGCACGUGUGUUUUAUGGAUUUCUUCAUAGACAAUAGAUGAACGAUACAAGAUUGAGCUUACGACUUCAUCAGCUUGCCUUACUUUGCACUAACUUUGCCAGUUUACCUUCCUGAAUAAUAACAGCUUGACUGCUCCCAAGAAUUAGCCCAUCUUCAGAGGAGGAAAUUGUAUCUGCAUUGAGGUGAUUUAAGGGAAUGUGCUUAAGAAUCUGAGUACGAGGCUCCCAAAAGGUGGUCCCAAUACAUUUUCAGCAAUGGUAGUUUUGUAAUAACAGCAAUUACGUAAUUGCUACAUGCCAGGCUUUGUUCUGAGGGUUUCUUAUAUUUUAACUCAUUUAAUCCUCACUACAGUCCUUUAAGGAGGAUAUUAUUCUCAUGUUAUUAGAUAAGAAAACUGAAUCAAAGAAAGGUUAAGGAAUUUGCCCAAGGUCAGAACAGCUAGUUGGAGGCAGAACUGAGAUGUGGCCCCAAGUAGCCUGGCCCCAGAGCCUGCGCUUUUCAUUAUUUCACCAGCUGCUCCAAGUGGCCCUUCGGAUGGCCUGAUGUAGGUGUAUACAUGUGGAAUCUAUUUUAACCAGCCAGUUUACCUUUCUGAAUAAUGUUUUAUUUGGGGGAUUGAAAAAGGAAUUAGUACCCACUAUAGAAAUUUGGGGAAUAUAAAAACACCAGGAAGAAAAUGAGAUUUCCUAGUCAUCCCAGAGAUAACAACUGUUAUCAUUUGGUGUGUGUCCUUUUUAUCACUUUAGUCUGUAUGAGCAGUCGCAUCUGGUUACUAUUCCGUUGUCAUAAUCAUGACCGAGUCAGUGUAGAGGAAUUUACCAAGCCUCUAUUUCUGUUACAUCCUGGUUCCAACUGCAAAGGCGGAUGUGAAUUUGGAUCCCAGAAGCAGAGUGAUACCCUCUUUUCCUUUGUCCCUAUCAGCAGUUCUGAUACAGAUUUACUCUGAAAGACUGGUGGAACCAGAGAACUGUCCCUCUGCCACUAGCUGCAUUUCUACCUAUCGUAAUAGUCAAGUGCUUCUUGUCUCAUCUUCCACACUAAGGAAACUCGGGAUCUAUUUGAGUCGCUUAUCUCUGGCUCACCCAUGUUUCCCCAUUUAGUCUUUGGCUACUCAGAACAGGAAAGGAACAGCUAUCGAUGCGUCACACCAAAGGAAACAGCGCAGAAGGAGACCUAAGAGAGCAUAGGACACACACGUAAGCAGAAGAUGGGUCACAGUCAUGGUUGUUAAUUAAUCACGUUUGGUACAAAAGUAACCUGACCAGCCAAGAAGGAUGUAUCUGAACUCUAAGGAGGAGGAGGGGGUGCUCUAAGUAUUGCUGGAGGCCAGGUGGUGGGAUCAGUUUGCCUGCAUGUGAUGGGGGUGGAAAAGAAGGAACUGGAAAGAGCUUUGGAGCUAUUUCCUAUUGGAUGGUGAGAACUUUCCCCUUUUCAGCUGGGCAGGGCAUGUGUUAAAUGUCGAAACAGUUUCCCUAAGUAUUAAAUUACAGCACAUAGAUAUGCUAGAGCACAAGGGUAGAAUAUGCUGACUAUAUGUGAAUAGGUGCCGAGCCCCCUAUUUGGAGUCUCUUACAAACGUCUGAAGCCUGUGGGAUGGAGAGGUAUCAAGGAGGAAGAAGAGAACUCUAAGGACUGAGGCAGUGCCCGAAGAAAUUAAAGAUGCAUGUCAGGUCUCAAGAUUCAAAAUGCCGUGGUCAGUAAGGCACCUGAUGCAAGGAUCCCACAGCAACCUUCAUUCAGGACGCACUUACUGCAACGCUUCCUCUGGGGCAGGGCCAUUAUUAUAUUAGCCUUUGGGAGAAUAAUGUGGAAUAAGACAGUGAUUCUUGCCUUCUGGAGCAAUGCAGAAUAACACCUCAGGGUUGCAGGGCCAUUUUGAGCCUUAUAUAGAUGGUAUAAGUGACUUUAUAAAAGAGGGAACCGAGGCUGAGGGUGUCGGUCAGUGAACUUAUCCGUCUUAACAGUAAACACCUGAAGUCCAGCCUGGCCAGUGGCUCCCACCGUCACCCUGAGCCUAGGUAGCGAGGUCCAGUUCAGCUUCUAUGAGAAACCCUAUGUGGGGUGGAUAAGUGUGUCACUGGCUGCUCACCCAGAUUUUAUUACUCUGAUACCUUGUUUUCUUUUGGCUCCUGUUUCUCAUAUGUAGACUUCCUCAAAGGGAAGGAGGGGUGGAUGGAAGCAUCCUAGUGCCCAAAUACCAUUUUAAAACCUAACGCUAGACUUUUUUUCAUACUCAAGCAAUGAAAGGCGAUUGUCCUAACUUCAGCAAAAUGUACAAAAAGUAGGCAAUCUUUACAAAACACACAUAGAGAAUAAAUUUUUGAAUGACCUACCUUUUAAGAUUUCCCCAGGGCUUCUCAGUUCCCUCCUUUCACAGAGGUAAUGAUACAUCUGCCUCAACCACUUUGUCCUGUUUGCUGCAAGUCCUACUAAUUCUUACUGAAAACGAGCCUCUAAAAUAUAAAUUACCAAGUUGUUAUUUUUCCUCCUGGCUGUCAUCCCCCGAGUGGGAUUCGGUCCCCUGGCCUCGUCUUCUUGACAGCCCUGGAAACACUAGUGCAAACAGCUGCGUCCUCACGCCCACACGGCCUGUCGAUGUGAAUGUAGUAUUGUUCCCCAGAGGCCCGUGGAUCUCAGUCCAGUCCUUCCUUGAAUGCUUGUGUUUGUCAACUUCUGUCACAGAGGCCCUGCAGGACAGAAAGUAAGCAACGCCCCCGUGGGUCCAGGCAGCCCCUCGCCGCUUGCCAUUCUUCAUUUACAGCUCUUUUCCGCUGAUCUCCCAGAUAGGGGUCUGUGAAGGAAUGACAUAUAUACCCAUGGCCUUAAGGCAUGGUACAGUUUACUGCUGAAAUAAACAAAUCACACUGAAGGAUUCAUUGGAGUAUUUAUUUGAUUGCAGCGAUCCACGGCUAUUGGAGCACUUUGACAAUCCACCUUCUCCCUUGGUAAAAUUACCUGUAAUGUCUAUUUUCGAUGGCAAAACUAAAUUCUCUAAAACGA